rnacentral:misc_RNA from 1 species
AUCAGCACUUAGAAUGCGACAAUGUCCACUUAUAAGUGAUAUUUCAAUAAUGGCAUUAGCCUUGAUGCGGGUUGAUGUGGACCAUGGACAUGGGAGUAGCUUGCGCUUGUUGGAUAUUUACAACUAUGGUGGAAUUACACAACUUGCAUUCCAUUGGUUGAAGAAUACCCUAUUUUCUAAGGUUGAGAUGGUUGGGAGUGACAGGAAAUGUAAAUAGGGAUAUUGUGGAUGCAUUAGCUAGGAAUAGACCAUUCUUGCAUAUGGCAAUCCAUGCAGAGGAGCUGGGGAUUGACUAGUGG